rnacentral:rRNA from 1 species
UACGGGAGGCAGCAGUGGGGAAUAUUGGACAAUGGGCGAAAGCCUGAUCCAGCCAUGCCGCAUGAGUGAAGAAGGCCUUCGGGUUGUAAAGCUCUUUUAGUAAGAAAGAUAAUGACGGUACUCACAGAAGAAGUCCUGGCUAACUCCGUGCCAGCAGCCGCGGUAAUACGGAGAGGGCUAGCGUUAUUCGGAAUUAUUGGGCGUAAAGAGCGCGUAGGCUGAUUAGUAAGUUAAAAGUGAAAUCCCAAAGCUUAACUUUGGAAUUGCUUUUUAAAACUGCUAGUCUAGAGAUUUGAAAGAGGAUAGAGGAAUUCCUAGUGUAGAGGUGAAAUUCGUAAAUAUUAGGAGGAACACCAGUGGCGAAGGCGUCUAUCUGGUUCAAAUCUGACGCUGAGGCGCGAAGGGCGUGGGGAGCAAACAGGGAUUAGAUACC